CCUACGGGGUGCAGCAGUGGGGAAUAUUGCACAAUGGGCGCAAGCCUGAUCCAGCCAUGCCGCGUGUGUGAAGAAGGCCUUUUGGUUGUGGAGCACUUUAAGCGAGGAGGAGGCUACUGAGAUUAAUACUCUUAGAUAGUGGACGUUACUCGCAGAAUAAGCACCGGCUAACUCUGUGCCAGCAGCCGCGGUAAUACAGAGGGUGCGAGCGUUAAUCGGAUUUACUGGGCGUAAAGCGUGCGUAGGCGGCUUUUUAAGUCGGAUGUGAAAUCCCUGAGCUUAACUUAGGAAUUGCAUUCGAUACUGGGAAGCUAGAGUAUGGGAGAGGAUGGUAGAAUUCCAGGUGUAGCGGUGAAAUGCGUAGAGAUCUGGAGGAAUACCGAUGGCGAAGGCAGCCAUCUGGCCUAAUACUGACGCUGAGGUACGAAAGCAUGGGGAGCAAACAGGAUUAGAUACCCUCGUAGUC
rnacentral:rRNA from 1 species